AAUUUCUGUAAUAUUCUCUUAAUAUACAGCUCAUACUAAUCCUCUCCUUUCUUUUUCUCUCUUGCAUGUCCUGAGCUGCUGCCUUGAAGUGCCCAUCCCUCUCCAGCGGAAUUUUCUAAAACCAUUCUAACCCCUUUUCUUCCCUCCCCUCUCUGUUUUUUCUUACAUUCGCAUGUGCUGAGAUGCCCAGCCGGCCUGCCUGGAUGCCUCCAUUUGAACUGACCUUUUAAACUACAAUUCCGAGUUUGUGAGUAGUGUGCCAAGUCGUGCUGGAAAAUGAAAUCUGCAUCUCCAACAGUCUGUCAUGUCUGGUGCUGAAAGCACGUCUGUGUCUCCCACAUCCAGCUCUAUCUGCGAUUCUCACAGUAACAACUACAAUACCCAGAACGCACCACUCCAUGACACAACACACACUCCCAAUCACAUGACACAUCACAUGACGCCACCAGGAAGCCCCGAGUACUGAUUAUCCACAGUAUUUAAGGACCAUGCUCACGCUCACACCUCGCCGAGUAUCUGUUUGGUAAUACCUACAAUACAAAGCGUUUCUCUUGCCCUUGCUAUCUUCCGUGUAUGAUCUUGUUUUUGUUUUCUACCGACUUUGAUUUUUGCCUGCUCCCUUGUGUUGGAUACCCGUGUAUGACCUGGACUGUUUAUAGUACUUUGGAUUUUUGCCUACCCUGUUAUACUGCCUACCCGUGUAUGAACUCUGGACUGUCUUCCGUUUAUGGUAUGGUUUCUCUACACUGUGUGUUUUUGGUACUGACCCUGUUUCCGUUGACUACCCCUGUCUGCUCUAUAACUUUAAAUAAAGUUAUUUUAUUGUA